CUUCAACGAGCCCAGCCAGAGCGGGCGUUCGGCCGCCCGUCCCUGACCGUAGGUGGCCAGCAGAGCCUGCGCCUC
rnacentral:antisense_RNA from 1 species